UGGGGAAUCUUGCGCAAUGGGCGAAAGCCUGACGCAGCAACGCCGCGUGAGGGAAGAAGGCCUUCGGGUUGUAAACCUCUUUCAGAGGGGACGAAGCCUCCGGGGUUAAUAGCCUACGGGGUGACGGUACCCCCAGAAGAAGCCCCGGCUAACUACGUGCCAGCAGCCGCGGUAAUACGUAGGGGGCAAGCGUUGUCCGGAAUCAUUGGGCGUAAAGCGCGUGUAGGCGGCUUGGUAAGUCUGGUGUGAAACCUCGGGGCUCAACCCCGAGCCUGCACUGGAUACUGCCUCGCUCGAGUCCGGGAGGGGAGAGCGGAAUUCCUAGUGUAGCGGUGAAAUGCGCAGAUAUUAGGAAGAACACCGGUGGCGAAGGCGGCUCUCUGGAACGGUACUGACGCUGAGACGCGAAAGCGUGGGGAGCAAAC
rnacentral:rRNA from 1 species